rnacentral:miRNA from 1 species
CGCUUCCCAACCCCGUCUGACUCCUUGCCACCUCUCGUUCGCCCCGAUGAGGUGGCGGGGAAUAAGAGACGGGGCUGGGAAGCG